UUUUAAACGGGCUACGAGUACGGAAGAUGUCGGCUUUGCACAGUGGAGUGAGUUGGAGUAGAUGAAACGACGGCAACAACGCAUAACUUCGACCAGCGGCUUCAACCCCGGAAACAAUGGCGGACGGAACACCCAGACGGAGUACCCAGCGUGCGUCGAUCGAUGCAACGAGUAGACUGCUUCGGGUGCUUCCUAGACGAUAAUAAGGACCAUAAAAGGGCGGCUGAAAUACUAGAAAUGGAACCAAAGAGAAUGCAAAUGCCUUGGAGGGAUGCAACAGAAAACCCAGACAGUGGAGUAUAUACAAUGAAGCACAUGGAAUGCUUCAUUGGGGAGAAAGCGAGGAAUUGGGAAUGCGGGUUGACCAAGGGAGACAAGACCACAAUAGAAACAUUACGAGCGAAGUACAUGAAGGAUAUCCUACUCAGCGAAUGUAAUGAGCAACACAGCAAAAACUUUCAAAGCUCACCACUGUUCGGCCAGGGUGUGUUCACGCAAUUCCGUUAAGCAGUAAGAUGUGUGUUUGGGCAUUUAUUUUUUGACUACUUUAAAAGACAUGACUAAGGACAACAAUCAAAUGUUUAGAAGUUGAAAAAAGUUUAUUACGAGGGACAAUUUGUUUUUGGUACACUUGUGCGAAAUGCAUAAGCAUGGUUUAUAGUUAAUAGACUGAGACGUAAAAGAUGAACCACUAUGUGCAUCAGCUGUAAAUGCAUAACCCUUGAUGAAUUUAUGUA